AGUGAUUGCUGCAAUUUCCGGAGAAAAGAAAAUCAAUUCAAAGAAAGAAAGUGAUGUGCUGUUUCUUGCUUCUACUCUGUUUUAAGCUUUUCCUUUCUUUCUUCUUGUGCUCUAAACUUAAAGAAAACUCAAUAUUUCCCUCCACUAAUCAUCUGCUUUGAUCAGUAUUCAAGAAAUCAAAAUUCAACGUUAAUUCUUGAAGUUAAAUCAAGAAAACCCACAAAGCAAAACAGACAUCUGAAGGCAAAUAAAGCUCCAAGAAAAUCAAGAAAUGCAAUAGAAACUCUCUUUUCUUCUUUGUUUUCCUUUCUAUUGUCUUUUCAACAGAAAUCCACAGUUGCUGUGCUAAAGAUUGGAUAUUUAGUGGAAGAAUUUCUAGCGUGGAAAUCAGAACUACAAUUCUUUAUUUUUUUAACAGAAAAAUGAUAAAAGGAAUCAACUUUCCAAGAAAAAAAAAACAGAGCUAUAUCCAAGAAACAAACAGAAUACCCCAGUGAAGAAAAACAAAAGAAAAUAAAAGCAUCAAGAUUUAGAACAAAAACAGAGCUUUUGGUUUUGGUUUCUAGAAAGAUCAAAUAAGCAGUUUCUGUUUUUUUUUUUUUUUUUAAAAGGGAAGAAUAUUGAUACCCACUCAAAAAUAUUUAUAAACACUCAUCUGUCUCUCUCUCUUGUGUAUUUCAUAGUCACAUUUCUUUUUUUCCCUUUUCUUUUUGGGUCUUGUUGCUUUUCUUUCUUUAAUUUCUUUGAUGAUUUUUGUUAGUAAUUGUAAUGCAGUGAGGUGGAUUUUAAUGGGUACUGGGU
rnacentral:lncRNA from 1 species